AAAGAAACUAACAAGGAUUCCCCUAGUAACGGCGAGUGAAGCGGGAAGAGCUCAAAUUUGAAAGCUGGCGUCUUCGGCGUCCGCAUUGUAAUCUCGAGAGUUGUUUUCCGUGCUGGACCAUGUACAAGUUCCUUGGAAUAGGACGUCAUAGAGGGUGAGAAUCCCGUACUUGACAUGGCUGCCCAGUGCUUUGUGAUACAACCUCAACGAGUCGAGUUGUUUGGGAAUGCAGCUCAAAAUGGGUGGUAAAUUCCAUCUAAAGCUAAAUAUUGGGGAGAGACCGAUAGCGAACAAGUACCGUGAGGGAAAGAUGAAAAGCACUUUGGAAAGAGAGUUAAACAGUACGUGAAAUUGUCAAAAGGGAAGCGCUUGAAGUUAGUUAUGCUUGCUGGGACUCAGCCUUGCUUUUGCUUGGUGCAUUUCCCAGUAUGCAGGUCAGCAUCGGUUUUGUCUGCUGGAUAAGGGUAAAAGGAACGUGGCACCCUCGGGUGUGUUAUAGCCUUCUACUGGAUACAGCGGACGGGACCGAGG
rnacentral:rRNA from 1 species